rnacentral:rRNA from 1 species
GAUCAUGGCUCAGGAUGAACGCUAGCUACAGGCUUAACACAUGCAAGUCGGAGGGGCAGCAUGGUCUUAGCUUGCUAAGGCCGAUGGCGACCGGCGCACGGGUGAGUAACGCGUAUCCAACCUGCCUUACACUCUUGGACAGCCUUCUGAAAGGGAGAUUAAUACAAGAUGUUAUCAUGAGUAAGCAUUUUCGCAUGAUUUAAAAGGUUUACCGGUGUAAGAUGGGGAUGCGUU